rnacentral:rRNA from 1 species
AUACGGAGGGUGCAAGCGUUAAUCGGAUUUACUGGGCGUAAAGCGCGCGUAGGCGGUUUGGUAAGUCGGAUGUGAAAUCCCAGGGCUCAACCUUGGAACUGCAUUCGAUACUGCCUCACUAGAGUAUGGUAGAGGGAAGUGGAAUUCCGGGUGUAGCGGUGAAAUGCGUAGAUAUCCGGAGGAACAUCAGUGGCGAAGGCGACUUCCUGGCCCAAUACUGACGCUGAGGUGCGAAAGCGUGGGGAGCGAACAGGAUUAGAAACCCGGGUAGUCC